rnacentral:rRNA from 1 species
GACGACGCUGGCGGCGUGCCUAACACAUGCAAGUCGAGCGGAGAAACAAAAGAGCAGCUUGCUGCGAUUUGUUUCUUAGCGGCGGACGGGUGAGUAACGCGUGGGUAAUCUGCCUCAAACAGGGGGAUAACACAGGGAAACUUGUGCUAAUACCGCAUAAGACCCCACCAUGGCAUCAUGGAGAGGUCAAAGGAAGAAAUUCCGGUUUGAGAUGAGCCCGCGUCUGAUUAGCUAGUUGGUGAGGUAACGGCUCACCAAGGCGACGAUCAGUAGCCGAACUGAGAGGUUGAUCGGCCACAUUGGGACUGAGACACGGCCCAGACUCCUACGGGAGGCAGCAGUGGGGAAUAUUGCACAAUGGGGGAAACCCUGAUGCAGCGACGCCGCGUGAAGGAAGAAGGCCCUCGGGUUGUAAACUUCUUUGACCAGGGACGAAGAAAGUGACGGUACCUGGAGAACAAGCCACGGCUAACUACGUG